CAGAAGAGUAGAAGCGGUCAGAGGAACGCGCGAUACCGGCAACACCUCGGGACAUUGCUCUUGAA
ncrna:unclassified sequences NMT1 RNA